rnacentral:rRNA from 1 species
AUUGAACGCUGGCGGCAUGCUUUACACAUGCAAGUCGAACGGUAACAGGGAGCUUGCUCCGCUGACGAGUGGCGAACGGGUGAGUAAUAUAUCGGAACGUACCCAAGAGUGGGGGAUAACGUAGCGAAAGUUACGCUAAUACCGCCUACGAUCUAAGGAUGAAAGCAGGGGAUCUUCGGACCUUGUGCUCCUGGAGCGGCCGAUAUCUGAUUAGCUAGUUGGUGAGGUAAAGGCUCACCAAGGCGACGAUCAGUAGCUGGUCUAAGAGGACGACAAGCAACACUGGAACUGAGACACGGUGCAGACUCCUGCGGGAGGCAGCAGUGGGGAAUUUUGGACAAUGGGCGCCAGCGUGAGCGAGCAAUGCCGCGUGGGUGAAGAAGGCCUUGGGGUUGUAAAGCUCUGUUGUCAGGGAAGAAACGGGAGUGGCUAAUAUCCAUUCCUAAUGACGGUACCUGAAGAAUAAGCACCGGCUAACUACGUGCCAGCCGCCGCCGUAA